UACAGAGGGUGCUAGCGUUGUUCGGAAUGACUGGGCGUAAAGGGAGCGUAGGCGGUUGAGUACGUUUGAUGUGAAAGUCCUGGGCUUAACCUGGGGACUGCAUUGAAUACGGCUUGACUUGAGGUAUAGAGGGGAAGAUGGAAUUGCGUGUGUAGAGGUGAAAUUCGUAGAUAUACGCAAGAACACCAGUGGCGAAGGCAGCAGAUUGGGCCGGUAUUGACGCUCAGGCACGAAAGCAUGGGG
rnacentral:rRNA from 1 species